GUGGGGCUGGAGGACCCAGGUGGGCGGGGCUGGAGGACCCAGAAGCGUGCAUGUCCCCAAAACGGUGACAGCAAAGCGGUGCCCCAAAGUGAUGUCCCCAUGGCGGUGUCCCCAUAACCCCCAUGUGUCCCCAUGGGGGUGUCCCCAUAUGUCCCCAUGGUGGUGUCCCCAUAACCCCCACCUGUCCCCAUGGUGAUGUCUCCAUAUGUCCCCAUGGUGGUGUCCCCUUAUUUCCCCAUAUGCCCCCAUAUGUCCCCAUGGUGGUGUCCCCAUAUGUCCCCAUGGUUACGUCCCCAUAACCCCCACGUGUCCCCAUGGUGAUGUCCCUAUAUGUCCCCAUGGUGAUGUCCCCAUAUGUCCCCAUGGUGAUGCCCCCAUAUGUCCCCAUAUGUCCCCAUGGUGAUGCCCCCACCUGUCCCCAUGGUGAUGUCCCCCUUCUUUCCCCCCCCUUCCCCCCUUCGUUCCCCAUGUGUCCCCAUGGUGAUGUCCCCUUAUUUCCCAUAUGCCCCCAUAUGUCCCCCACCUGUCCCCAUGGUGGUGUCCCCUUCUUUCCCCCUCUGCCCCCCUGCGUCCCCCGGCCUGCCCCCAUGCGUGUCCCCAUAUGUCCCCAUGGUGAUGUCCCCAUAUGUCCCCAUGGUGGUGUCCCCUUAUUUCCCCAUAUGCCCCCAUAUGUCCCCAUGGUGAUGCCCCCAUAUGUCCCCAUGGUGAUGUCCCCUUAUUUCCCCAUAUGCCCCCAUGUGUCCCCAUAUGCCCCCAUGGUGAUGUCCCCACCUGUCCCCAUGGUGAUGCCCCCAUAUGUCCCCAUGGUUACGUCCCCAUAUGUCCCCCACCUGCCCCCAUGGUGAUGUCCCCCUUCCCCCCUGCCCCCUUCGUCCCCCACCUGUCCCAU
rnacentral:lncRNA from 7 species